UACAGAGGGUGCGAGCGUUAAUCGGAAUUACUGGGCGUAAAGCGUGCGUAGACGGUUAUUUAAGUCGGAUGUGAAAGCCCCGGGCUCAACCUGGGAAUUGCAUUCGAGACUGAAUAGCUAGGGUACGGUAGAGGGAAGCGGAAUUUCCGGUGUAGCGGUGAAAUGCGUAGAUAUCGGAAGGAACAUCAGUGGCGAAAGCGGCUUCCUGGACCAGUACCGACGUUCCGGCACGAAAGCGUGGGGAGCAAACAGG
rnacentral:rRNA from 1 species